UGCGUAGGCGGUGGUAUAAGUCAGGUGUGAAAGCUUCCAGCUAAACUGGGGAAUUGCAUUUGAUACUGUAUCACUUGAAUCAGGCUGAGGUCAGCGGAAUGUGUCAUGUAGCGGUGAAAUGCAUAGAUAUGACAUAGAACACCAAUUGCGAAGGCAGCUGACUAGACCUGUAUUGACGCUGAGGCACGAAAGCGUGGGGAGCGAACAGGAUUAGAUACCCUGGUAGUCC
rnacentral:rRNA from 1 species